AAAAAAAAUUCAAAAUUCAAAAUUUCACCAAAACAAAUUCAAAACCCCUAGUUUUAUCAUUUCUGUUUCGCGAGCUUCCCCCCAAAUUCUCCCUCUCUCUCUCCAUCUACCCCAAAAUCUUCCCCACCGUCGACCACCACGCACGACCCGCCACCGUUCGGAGCUCCGUCGUUCUUCCAGUUCCGGCGACCAAUUUCGCACGAGCACCGUCGACCACUGCCUACUUCCAUCUCCAUCUCCAUCUCCGGCCACUAGGUACUGCCAGGCGCCAUCUCCGACGACCCAUACCCAACCACCGCCUGUCUUCUAGUUCCAGCUACUGUGACCCAGCUCCGCCACCGUCGACCACCACGCACGACCCACCUCGUCGUUCUCCAUCUUCGGCCAAAACCCAACCACUGGCCGUCUUCCAGUUCCGGCCCUCUUCCAUCUCCUUCAAGUCUAGGUCCCCGUCAGAGUUCAACAGAAGGGGUAGUUCAAGAUUUGGAGAAAAGAUGGGCUCAAGUUCAGGAUAAGGUGUUGAAGCUGCAGUAAUCUAAGAUUUGGAGAAAAGAUGGGGUUGUGAACCUAAGAAUUUUGGACAUGCAGUGAUCUCCUGCAUGCAGCAACCUACUAGGGGCAUACCUAAUAAUAACCAUCUUGCUUAGUUUUUUUUCCAAUUUAUUUGCCUUUACGCCUUUUAUAGUGCUAUAAAAACUAUGCCAGUAGACUUUUUGCUUAGUUUUCAUGAGAUUUAAUAGUUGAGAAUUCAUGUAUUAGUCCUAUCAAGAGUAUAACACACUUUCAAGGUAGCAGCUUAUAGAUGGCUGCGUUUGUUGCUAUGUAUUUGCAGCCUUUUGCCCUCCGAUUGUUGCUACUUUGUAGUUUGACCAUUACAUGAUGGCUGUCUCUCAGUCUUUCACGAA